UACGUAGGGUGCAAGCGUUAAUCGGAAUUACUGGGCGUAAAGUGUGCGCAGGCGGCCGAGCAAGUCGAGUGUGAAAUCACCGGGCUUAACUUGGGAAUUGCGCUCGAAACUACUUGGCUGGAGUGUGGCAGAGGAAGGUGGAAUUCCACGUGUAGCGGUGAAAUGCGUAGAGAUGUGGAGGAACACCGAUGGCGAAGGCAGCCUUCUGGGCCAACACUGACGCUCAUGCACGAAAGCGUGGGGAGCAAACAGG
rnacentral:rRNA from 1 species